CUCUUAGCUUCUUAUUUGGCUGUCAUUCACUUUAAAACACUCAUUGAUGACCACUCGGUCACCUUGUUCCUUGACCAUAAACCUUUAGUUUCUGCCUUUCAUUCUAAGUCAGUUGCAAAGUCUGAUAGGCAACAACGGCAACUUUCUUUAAUCUCUGAAUAUGUAUCAUCAGUAGUGUACAUCCGUGGGGACAACAAUGUUGUUGCCGAUUGUUUAUCAAGACCAUCAUGUGCAAUUUCAGUUGAUUCUUUCGACUUAUGUGGCAUAGCUCGUUCCCAGGAAGGUGACACCGAGGUCGGUUUGUACAAGGAGAGAUUAUCCAAUUAUACCUUGCCCUCUAAUCUUGCUCUGUGGUGCGACACAUCUACCAACGCACCAAGACCGUUUGUUCCUUCUUCUCUUAGGAUAAAUGUCAUUCAUUCAUUACACGAUCUACCUCAUCCUGGUAUUAAAACCACUGCUAAAAUAAUUAAACAACGUUAUUUCUGGCCUUGUAUGGACAUAGAUAUAAAGGAGUUUGUAACGAAUUGUCUUAAAUGUCAACAAGCUAAAACACACACACACACAAUAUCACCAGUUUCUCCUAUUUCUACUCCUACUGAUCGCUUCCAGACUGUUCAUAUAGAUAUUGUUGGACCAUUGCCUCCUGCUACUCUUCCUAACUACCCAUACCCUCUCCCAUACAGUUACCUUCUCACUUGCAUUGACAGAGCGACAAGAUGGACGGAAGCUAUACCUGUAAUAGACACCACCGCGAGCUCCGUCGCUAUUGCAUUCGUGGCUGGUUGGAUUUCUCGUUUUGGAGUACCGCUACAGGUAGUGACAGACAGAGGUGCUCAAUUUGAAAAUGAGUUGUUUUCCGAGCUUUCCUCAAUUAUUGGCUUCCAUCACAUGCGAAUAACUGCUUAUCAUCCUCAAGCGAACGGUAUCAUUGAACGCCAUCACCGCUCUCUAAAAUCAGCGAUACAUGCUAGACAAGAGAACUGGUUUUAUGCUUUGCCCAUAGUCUUACUUGGAUAUCGCUUGACACCUAAUAUGACCAGUUACUCGCCAUUCACUGCUGUCACAGGAACUCAUAUGUUGUGUCCUUCUGCAAUUAUCACUAAAGACUCGCCAAUAUCAACAAACAAAGAUACUAUACACCGCUUGAUUAAAGAAAUGCAGGCCAUUGAUUUUUAUAACUUUUCAUUAGGUGAAUGUCACUCCUCAUCUAAACCAUAUGUUCCUAACGUUCUGUUUUCAUGUUCAAAGGUCUGGGUGCGGAUUGAAGGUCUGGGUGCGGAUUGACAGAGUUCGCAAAAGUUUAGAAGCUCCUUAUUCGGGACCUUAUGAAGUAAUACAACGUGACCCGAAAUAUUUCAUCCUCAGACUUCCUCAGGGUGACACGUCUGGAUCUAUUGACCGUUUGAAGCCAGCUUAUAUACCAAUCACCAGACAAGCACCAUCUAAUGAUAGAGAUGACCUGACGACAUCUACCUUAGACUCUAAUUCAUCUCCUUUGCCUGAUAUCUCUGCUUCUACACCUUCCCCUUCUGCUCAUUUCCAGUCUGAUCUUCCUCGCCAUACCAUACCUAACUUCCCUCGUACAACUCGUUCAGGGAGGACAGUGUAUUUCAAUCAACACCCUCAUUAUUUAUAUUACUAGGUGAACUCCGUUCUUGAGGGGGGAGUAUUGUAGGAGUACAUAGAUACACCAUUAGAAGUUCGAGGUAGGUUCCAGUAAUGCGGUUUACACCUCGUUGGGUACUGCCACGGUCUCGGUCAUUCGGCUGACUGGACGCCUACCAAAAACACCACACAUACACGCCUGCAAUGGUUUUCCUUUAUUGUGAUUUAAGUACCACCUGGAGUUUGGGGCCCAUGUCGACAGUGGACGCCGUGGACGGUACACCCGCUCACCUGCCGUGCAUGGCCGCCAACAGCAGGCCCAGGGACGCUCCUGUCCUGGUGGUGUGGUACAGAGACGGCUCCCGCAGGCCCUUCUACAUGUGAGUACCUAGCGUGUGUGUGUGUGUGUGUGUGUGUGUGUGUGUGUGUGUGUGUGUGUGUGUGUGUGUGUGUGUGUGUGUGUGUGUGUGUGUGUGUGUGUGUUUGGUCUCUUGAGGAAUUGAGAUCGACAAUAUUCUGGACAAAAAAUAAGCAGCUCUCACUUUACGUGCAUAGAGAUUAGAGGGUUCGUGGGAACAGUUGCAUACAGUGUACCGUUCUCCUGAGUGUGUUGGUGGAGUGGGUUGCUGCCUGGCCAGCGGCUCCUUCCUGCCAUUAUCUCACUGGCACUCUCGGCCUGUGUUGCCAUGUUGUUCUCUGCCGCGUGUGUUCAUGGUCGUGUUUGGACGUGUGCAUGUCCGGGUUACUCUCUGAGCUGAGUCACGGUGUGUUGGCUUCUCUUACUUUGAGUUGGAACAUGUAAAGCAAAGCGUUUCUCUAGUACAUGUUGUGAGUUGUGUGUGCAUAAUUCUUUAUAAUUCCAGGAAAUUAUAUUUAUUACUUCACGUGAAA